rnacentral:rRNA from 1 species
GAUGAACGCUGGCGGCGUGCCUAAUACAUGCAAGUCGAGCGAACAGACGAGGAGCUUGCUCCUCUGACGUUAGCGGCGGACGGGUGAGUAACACGUGGAUAACCUACCUAUAAGACUGGGAUAACUUCGGGAAACCGGAGCUAAUACCGGAUAAUAUAUUGAACCGCAUGGUUCAAUAGUGACAGACGGUUUUGCUGUCACUUAUAGAUGGAUCCGCGCCGCAUUAGCUAGUUGGUAAGGUAACGGCUUACCAAGGCAACGAUGCGUAGCCGGCCUGAGAGGGUGACCGGCCACACUGGAACUGAGACACGGUCCAGACUCCUACGGGAGGCAGCAGUAGGGAAUCUUCCGCAAUGGGCGAAAGCCUGACGGAGCAACGCCGCGUGAGUGAUGAAGGUCUUCGGAUCGUAAAACUCUGUUAUUAGGGAAGAACAAAUGUGUAAGUAACUAUGCACGUCUUGACGGUACCUAAUCAGAAAGCCACGGCUAACUACGUG